rnacentral:tRNA from 1 species
AUUUAAAUAGUUUAAUAAAAAUUCUGAUUUGUGGGGUCAAGGAUGUGAGGAAUCACUUUAAAUA